GUCUCUGUGGCACAAUUGAUUAGCCCGUUCACCUGUUAAUUGAAAGGUUGGUGGUUCAAGACCACCCAGGGACG